GAUGAACGCUGGCGGCGUGCUUAACACAUGCAAGUCGAACGGGAUCCAAGGGGUGCUUGCACUUUUUGGUGAGAGGGGCGAACGGGUGAGUAACACGUGAGUAACCUGUCCUUUUCUUGGGGAUAAGCAUGCGAAAGGGUGUUUAAUACCAUAUGUUCUGUCUGCCUCGCAUGGGGUGGGUGGGAAAGGCUUUGGCCGGAUUUGGGUGGGCUCGCGGUCUAUCAGCUUGUUGGUGGGGUGAUGGCUUGACAAGGCGUUGACGGGUAGCGGGGCGGCGGGGGAGGUCGGUCGCAUUGGGACUGAGAUACGGCCCGGAAGCCUGCGGAAGGAAGCAGUGGGGAAUAGUGCAAAAUGGGCGAAAGCCUGAUGCAGCGACGCCGCGUGGGGGAUGAAGGCCUUCGGGUUGUAAACUGGUUUUGCUCUGAACAAGGGAUGCCAGUGGGUGUGUUGAGUGUAGGGGUGGAUAAGCGCCGGCUAACUACGUG
rnacentral:rRNA from 1 species